rnacentral:rRNA from 1 species
UAAAUCAGUUAUGGUUCACUAGAUCGUAUAUUUUACACGGAUAACUGUGGUAAUUCUAGAGCUAAUACGUGCAAUCAGCUCGUUGCCUUGUGUAGCGAGCGCAGUUAUUAGAACAAGACCAAUCCGGCCUUCUGGUCGGUUAAAUUGGUGACUCUGAAUAACCGAAGCGGAGCGCAUGGUCUCGUACCGGCGCCAGAUCUUUCAAGUGUCUGACUUAUCAGCUUGUUGUUAGGUUACGUUCCUAACAAGGCUUUUACGGGUGACGGGGUAUCAGGGUCCGAUACCGGAGAGGGAGCCUGAGAAACGGCUACCACAUCCAAGGAAGGCAGCAGGCGCGCAAAUUACCCACUCCCGGCACGGGGAGGUAGUGACGAAAAAUAACGAUGCGAGGGCUCUAUGCUUCUCGUAAUCGGAAUGGGUACACUUUAAAUCCUUUAACGAGGAUCUAUUGGAGGGCAAGUCUGGUGCCAGCAGCCGCGGUAAUUCCAGCUCCAAUAGCGUAUAUUAAAGUUGCUGCGGUUAAAAAGCUCGUAGUUGGAUCUGGGCAGUUGGACGGAUGGUGCGUUUUACGACGCUACUAUCUGUUCGGCGCCACAAGCCGGCCAUGUCUUGCAUGCUCUUCACUGAGUGUGCUUGGCGACCGGAACGUUUACUUUGAAAAAAUUAGAGUGCUCAAAGCAGGCGUACGGCCUUGCAUAAUGGUGCAUGGAAUAAUGGAAUAGGACCUCGGUUCUAUUUUGUUGGUUUUCGGAACUCGAGGUAAUGAUUAAUAGGAACAGACGGGGGCAUU